rnacentral:rRNA from 1 species
UACGAAGGGGGCUAGCGUUGCUCGGAAUCACUGGGCGUAAAGGGUGCGUAGGCGGGUCUUUUAAGUCAGGGGUGAAAUCCUGGAGCUCAACUCCAGAACUGCCUUUGAUACUGAAGAUCUUGAGUUCGGGAGAGGUGAGUGGAACUGCGAGUGUAGAGGUGAAAUUCGUAGAUAUUCGCAAGAACACCAGUGGCGAAGGCGGCUCACUGGCCCGAAACUGACGCUGAGGCACGAAAGCGUGGGGAGCAAACAGG